GUCCGUGGUAGGCAGCGCAUUCGGCUGUUAACCGAAAGGUUGGUGGUUCGAGCCCACCCGGGAGCA